AUUGAACGCUGGCGGCAGGCCUAACACAUGCAAGUCGAGCGAGCGGCGGACGGGUGAGUAGUGUAGGGGGAUCUGCCCGAUAGAGGGGGAUACAUACUGGAAACGGUGGCUAAUACCGCAUACUAUCGGAUGAACCCAUAUGGGAUUUGCUAGUAGGUGGGGAAAAGGCACACCUAGGCGACGAUCUCGAGCGGGUCUGAGAGGAUGAUCGGCCACACUGGAACUGAGACACGGCCCAGACUCCUACGGGAGGCAGCAGUGGGGAAUAUUGCACAAUGGGCGCAAUCCUGAUGCAGCCAUGCCGCUUGUAUGAAGAAGGCCUUAGGGUUGUAAAGUACUUUCAGCGGGGAGGCGUUACCCGCAGAAGAAGCACCGGCUAACUCCGUGCCAGCAGCCGCGGUAAUUC
rnacentral:rRNA from 1 species